rnacentral:rRNA from 1 species
GAUGAACGCUAGCGGCAGGCUUAAUACAUGCAAGUCGAGGGGCAACAGGGGUAGCAAUACCUGCUGGCGACCGGCAAACGGGUGCGGAACACGUACAGAACCUUCCUUUAAGCGGGGGAUAGCCCGGAGAAAUCCGGAUUAAUACCCCACUAGUAAUAUUGACUGGCAUCAGUUGGUAUUUAAAGAUUUAUUCACUUAAAGAUGGCUGUGCGGCUGAUUAGGUAGUUGGUUGGGGUAACGGCCCACCAAG